rnacentral:rRNA from 1 species
UACGUAGGGUGCAAGCGUUAAUCGGAAUUACUGGGCGUAGAGCGUGCGCAGGCGGUGAUGUAAGACAGAUGUGAAAUCCCCGGGCUCAACCCGGGAAGUGCACUCGAUACUGCCAAGCUAGAGUAUCGGAGAGGUUGGUGGAAUUCUCGGUGUAGAGGUGAAAUUCGUAGAUAUCGAGAGGAACACCGGUGGCGAAGGCGGCCAACUGGACGAAUACUGACGCUGAGACUCGAAAGCGUGGGGAGCAAACAGG